rnacentral:SRP_RNA from 11 species
GGUCUACCUGUGCCAAUGUGGGAGAUGAGUCUCGACAGUCGAGCGAAGGCUUGGGUGGCAUCGCUCUUUUAGUGGUGGAGAUCUAAGGCUAGCUUCAUACAAUAACGUCCACUUCCCGCUCCCGUUGAUGGGAGGAUGGAGACC